GUGGGCUGGCUGCCAUGUCGACUAAUCUGAGCUCGUCGUUUCCGCAGAUUUGCAAAUCGGAGCGUGUAAUAGCCGAAAUUGUUUAUUUUGUGGUGACAGCACAACGUUACUUGUCGCUUGUCAGUAAUCCUGAGAAACUCAACAAUGUGUUCCCAUGAGGCGGUUUAGCUAGCGCGAUCGGAUUCCACCUGGCAAGCAAGAUGGAAGAAGAAAACAUUUGGUCUGUCCAACAAAUCGCUCAAUGACUUGAUCAAAGUUUUCAAGGGGAAAACGUCAACAGUUUUAUUUAUUUUUUUUUUAUUUGUGUCGGUAAACAAGGCUACUUGAGUCAUUGUGUGAGCUUGCUGCCUUGCAGUUGGAUGUUUUUUGUUUUUUAUUUUGGUCGUCUUUUUUCCAGGCGUGACAUUAAGUUUGGAUUCGGCGAUUUGUGUUGUCUUAGGGGAGCAACGAUGGCUCUCUUGUCUGCUUUUUGGCGAAGUCUGCGCUCGGACGGGCUCCUGACUCCCGCUCGUCAGUACCCGCUGGCCUGCUGCCUCCUUGCCGCCAUGUUGGUCGCCACAGUCCUGCUGAGCAGGUACCUCCUCAUCCUGAUUGGCUUGUGGUCCUUCCUGGCGGGCGCGGUCACCUUCUAUUGGGCUCUGGAACCCGACUCGGUGCUCCCAAACGUUUUGCUCGGUCCUAAAGAGCCACGCAAAAGACAGUUUCAGGAACAGGCGCUGUUCCCUUCGGGUCGCAGCUGUGCCGUGUGCGGGAAGCUGGAAUGCAAGCGGCAUCGCGGGACCUUGCGACUGGAGAACUUCCAGCCGUGGUUGGGUCUGGACGUCCCCGCCGACGUGGACGCUUCCGUAGCAGAGGUGUUCGAGUUGGUUCUGGAGAACUUUGUGUAUCCGUGGUACCGGGACAUCACGGACGACGAGGCGUGUGUGGACCAACUCCGCUUGAGCUUUCGCUUCUUGGCGUCCGUGUUGGUCCGCAGAGCUCAGAAGGUGGAUUUUCCCGCCGUCUUCGCUGACCACGUGAUGAAAGCGGCCGUCAAGCACGUGGAGAUUCUGGCUAAGGCUCACGCUCGAGUCCGGCCAGGUCGGACGCUGCAGCGGGCGGCUCUGGACGAGUACGGCGCCGACCUACACGUGGCCGCACGCGGCCGCCGGCAGGAGGCGCUCUACCUCAGGAAGCUCAGCGAGAUGCUUUUCCCCUACUUGAUGCCUCCCAAAGCAAACGAGUGCAGGUCGCUGGCGCUGCUGCUGCGGGAGGUGCUGUCGGGUUCCGUCCUCCUGCCCGCCAUGGACUUCGUGGCCGACCCGGACACGGUCAACUUGAUGGUGCUCAAGUUUGUUGACGACACUCCGGCCGAAGCCGCCCCUGAACCGCCGUCUGCUCGUGUACCCUUCCUGCGCAAAUACGCAGACCGCAGCAGCAACAAGCCCUCAGUUCUCAAGUUGGAACUGAAGGAGAUCCGAGAACAGCAAGACCUUCUGUUUCGCUUCAUGAACUUCCUCAAGCAAGAGGGCGCCGUGCACGUGCUCCAGUUCCUUCUCGCUGUGGAGGAGCUCAACGACAAGAUCUUGAGUCCGGAGCUGUCCGACUCGGAGCUGCGGCGUCUGCACGGCGAGGUGGUACACAUCUACCAGAUGUACUGCGUUGAUGAGAGUAUCUACAAGAUCAACUUGAACCGCGACACAGUGGAGGACAUCAGGAACGUGGCCGUCGCUCCUUACGGCGCCGUUGUCAAGCUGCAGACCAUGGGCUGCCUCUUUGAGGCCUACGAGCACGUCCUGUCUCUAUUGGAGAACGUCUUCACGCCCAUGUUCUGCCACAGCGACGAGUACUUCAGACACCUGCUGAAAGGAGCGGAGUCGCCUGCCAGGAGUUCACGAGUCGGCAGGUUUGUCAGGAGAUCCCUCAUUCAAGAAAUCACAAAUCAGUAUCUCCUCAUUGAUCCCGCGCCCAGGAACCCGUCCAAGCGCGGAGAGUCUUUCGGCAUUGGCAGGAUUGGCAGUAAAAUCAAAGGAGUAUUCAAGAGCACCACCGUGGAGGGGGCCGUCCUGCCACCCAGUUGCGUGACGGACGCGGACGACGAUGUGGUGGAAGAGGCCACGGCGGUGACUGAGGACGCCGUGCCCGCCUCGGCAGCGGGUCGCCAGAGGAGGCUCUCGGCCUGGACCGUCGCCAUCCCGUACGUGGACUUGUACGAGGAUGAGGCCAAGAGGGAGAAGGUUCCCGUCUUCUGCAUCGACGUGGAGCGCAACGACAGGAAGGAAGUCGGACACGAUCCCGAGCGCUGGUCCGUCUGCAGAAGAUACUUUGAGUUCUACGUGCUGGAGUCCAAGCUCACAGAGUUUCACGGUGCUUUUGCUGAUGCGCAGCUGCCCCCCAAACGCAUUCUGGGACCCAAGAACCACGAAUUCCUCACCUCCAAGAGGGAAAACUUUGAGGACUACUUGCAGAAACUCCUUCGCUACCCGGAGCUCAGCAACAGUCAGCUGUUGGCCGACUUCCUGUCUCCGCACAGUGUGGAGUCUCAGUUUGUGGACAGGAUGCUUCCCGACGUCAACUUGGGCAAAAUUUUCAAGUCUGUUCCGGGGAAAUUGAUGAAGGAGAAAGGUCAGAACCUGGAGCCGUUCAUCCAGUCCUUCUUCAACUCCUGCGAGUCUCCGAAAGCCAAACCUAGCCGGCCCGAGCUGACCAUUGUCAGCCCGGGCGCCGCCGCCAACAAGCGGCUCCUCAACCAGACGUUCAGGAACGUUGAGGCCGUCGCCGAGGGGCCGGGCGGCCGCGACGGCAUGACUGAGGUCGGCGUGGACGGAAUGUACGACUACAUGGUGCACGUCGGUCGGCUGCUGUUCGGCACGCCGCGCUGGCUGCAUCGCCUCCUGUCGGCCGGCAGGAUCCUCGUGAAGAACACGUUCGAGGCCUACGUGGCGCAGCAAGUGCAAACCAAGAUAGACGGCAUCCUGCAGGAGCACCGCCUGGUCUCGCUCAUCACGCAGCUACGAGGUUAUCGCACCACAAUUGCAAAAUUCUUACACGUCAACUACACGCUCACAAGGUGGCGAGAUUUCCACAAAAUGCUGGAUGGGGUUCAAAUGACCGCUUGAAAUUGUAGAUGGAAAACAGUCGCCUCAAACAUCCGCAAAAAAUGUCUUUGUAGUGCUUGCGGGAUCGGGAAAUGAGCGAUCGAUUGCGACCGGUCGUUCCCGACUAGAAACGUUGGCAAAAUGUGUCAAAAUGCUGAGUUUGGUAGGAGGGGCCACUUUAACCUACGUACAAGACUCGAGUCAUUGUGACAAUUGCAAGAUGUCUACUGGAUGGAGAAAUACUUUUUUGCAUGUGGGCUAAAGGUUUUUCCCAAAAGACCUUCUUUGAUUAGCUCAAAAUAUCCCUCGAUAAACUUGUACCAAAUUCCCAAGGGUCGCUUCUCUGAGCAUGGUGAUGUUCCAAAUGGCGUCACUUAAGACACCUAAGAGGUCGACUUGAGUAGCACGAACGGAACAUGGCAGUCAACAGUCGGGAAUGGAAUGGUUGCGGAGAAUUUUCGAUCCCAAAACUCCACAAAGACGACGCCAUCUUCUACGAAAACUCCGAAGAGCGCAGCCGCCAGGCUAAGCAAACGCGAGCCGAGCAGACGUUCGACGAGAUGGUGGCCUAUCUGCCCGACGCGGUCGGCGUGUGCAUCGGCGAGGAGGCCAAGCGCGAGG